AUAUAGUCACUAUUGUAAUUCAGAUUUGAUUUAAGUAUCGUUACAAAGCACCUGAAAAUGACAAUUUCUCCAUAAACGUUAAAUAUUGGAAUAAAUUAAACCAAAAAAAGUUGUGGAUUUCUUAUGCAUCCACUGUCAUCAACUGAGACAUCCCACUCAGUAACUUCGGAAUCGAUUAUCUUACGUAUUUUGAUGCUUUUACGCGUCUGCUCUCCAUAAAUAUUAAUCCGCUCCACCUUCAAAUGCUUUUGAGAGCUAGAAUACUUAGGAGAAACGGGAGGAUUAGAAUGACUGUCCUUCAUCGUUAAGAUUCCAUUUUCAUAUGAGAAGUGCCUAAUCAGAUAUUCUCCCUUCUUAUAAUUAAAAGUUACACCAUCAUCUAAGUACAAGAAUCCAGAAGCGUUCUUGCCAAUCUUUGACACUGCAAUGGUCAAAGUGAAUGGGUCAUUACGUGUAAGUUCAGCGGCUCUACGAAUGCGUUCGCGAGUGAUUAAAAUAUUACCACCCCUCAGUAAAACAGGAACUCGACCAAGAGGAGCAGGAACAACUUGGUGUCCUUUUCCAGCAUAUUCUGUAUGAUCAUGCAAAUCAAAAUAUACUUCAUCAUCUGCAAGGUAUAUUGUGAUCUUAUCAAUAGACGGGUGAGUCACCGGCUUCACCAAUAAACCAGAAUCGCCAACGUAAAAUUGAUCAUCUAUAGCAAAGCCCUCUUCAUCUUCAGGAUGCAUCAAAAAUUGAGGAUAAAGAAUCGGGAAACCGUGAGUAUGAGAGUUGUAAAAAGCAGUAUACCACGUGGGUAAUAAGCGGUAGCGAAUUCUCAGUAGCUCUCGGACUAAAGACGUAUAUGGUUCACCAUACAGCCAAGGUUCACGUCUCUUAGUGUCAAUGUGAGCAUGAGCACGAAAGAAAGGGUAAAAAAUGGCAGUCUCAUACCACCGAACAAACAAUUCAGCGUCAGGGUUGCCAAAGAACCCUGCAACAUCAGCUCCAGAGAAAGCCAUGCCGGAAAUACCAUUGGUUAAAACGGUGGGAAUUGAACCACGCAAAUGCUCCCAAGUAGUCAUAGUGUCACCAAUCCAAUUAGCGGCUAAAGCACUAGUACCAGCAAAAAAUGAACGCGUUAAGAUAAAAGGACGUACAGCACCU